rnacentral:rRNA from 1 species
GACGAAGGGGGCAAGCGUUGUUCGGAAUUACUGGGCGUAAAGCGAGUGUAGGUGGUCGUCAUAGUCAGGUGUGAAAGCCUUGAGCUCAACUCAAGAAAUGCACUUGAUACUGGGCAGCUAGAGGACCGGAGAGGAUAGUGGAAUUCCCAGUGUAGUGGUGAAAUACGUAGAGAUUGGGAAGAACACCAGUGGCGAAGGCGGCUAUCUGGACGGUUUCCGACACUAAGACUCGAAAGCGUGGGGAGCAAACAGG